ACACAUGCAGUCGAGCGGAGAGAGGUAGCUUGCUACCGAUCUUUAGCGGCGGACGGGUGAGUAAUGCUUAGGAAUCUGCCUAUUAGUGGGGGACAACAUUUCGAAAGGAAUGCUAAUACCGCAUACGUCCUACGGGAGAAAGCAGGGGAUCUUCGGACCUUGCGCUAAUAGAUGAGCCUAAGUCGGAUUAGCUAGUUGGUGGGGUAAAGGCCUACCAAGGCGACGAUCUGUAGCGGGUCUGAGAGGAUGAUCCGCCACACUGGGACUGAGACACGGCCCAGACUCCAUACGGGAGGCAGCAGUGGGGAAUAUUGGACAAUGGGCGGAAGCCUGAUCCAGCCAUGCCGCGUGUGUGAAGAAGGCCUUAUGGUUGUAAAGCACUUUAAGCGAGGAGGAGGCUACUUUAGUUAAUACCUAGAGAUAGUGGACGUUACUCGCAGAAUAAGCACCGGCUAACUCUGUGCCAGCAGCCGCGGUAAUACAGAGGGUGCAAGCGUUAAUCGGAUUUACUGGGCGUAAAGCGCGCGU
rnacentral:rRNA from 1 species